rnacentral:rRNA from 1 species
UACAGAGGGUGCAAGCGUUGUUCGGAAUUAUUGGGCGUAAAGCGCGUGUAGGCGGCUUUGCAAGUCGGGUGUGAAAGCCCUCAGCUUAACUGAGGAAGUGCGCCCGAAACUGCAGAGCUCGAGUACCGGAGAGGAUGGUGGAAUUCCCCAAGUAGAGGUGAAAUUCGUAGAUAUGGGGAGGAACACCGGUGGCGAAGGCGACCAUCUGGACGGAUACUGACGCUGAGACGCGAAAAGCGUGGGUAGCAAACAGG